AUUGAACGCUGGCGGCAUGCCUUACACAUGCAAGUCGAACGGCAGCACGGGGGCAACCCUGGUGGCGAGUGGCGAACGGGUGAGUAAUGCAUCGGAACGUGCCCAGUAGUGGGGGAUAACUAGUCGAAAGAUUAGCUAAUACCGCAUACGACCUAUGGGUGAAAGCGGGGGAUGCAGCACUUAAUGUUUUGGGAUGGCUACUUGUGGCCGCCUCGGGACAGUCUCAGGUUGAGAACAUUAAGUGCUGCACCUCGCGCUAUCGGAGCGGCCGAUGUCUGAUUAGCUAGUUGGCGGGGUAAAAGCCCACCAAGGCGACGAUCAGUAGCUGGUCUGAGAGGACGACCAGCCACACUGGGACUGAGACACGGCCCAGACUCCUACGGGAGGCAGCAGUGGGGAAUUUUGGACAAUGGGCGCAAGCCUGAUCCAGCCAUGCCGCGUGCGGGAAGAAGGCC
rnacentral:rRNA from 1 species